rnacentral:rRNA from 1 species
GCUGACGUGGUGCCAGGUGCCGGGGUAAUGCGAAGGGGGCAAGCGUUACUGGGAAUUACGGGGCGUAAAGCGUGCGUAGGUGGUUCGUUAAGUCUGAUGUGAAAGCCCUGGGCUCAACCUGGGAAUUGCAUUGGAGACUGGCGAGCUAGAGUGCUGUAGAGGGUAGUGGAAUUCCCGGUGUAGCAGUGAAAUGCGUAGAGAUCGGGAGGAACAUCUGUGGCGAAGGCGACUGCCUGGACCAGCACUGACACUGAGGCACGAAAGCGUGGGGAGCAAACAGGAUUAGAUAGCCCAGUAGUC